rnacentral:lncRNA from 1 species
CUCCAGGGAAGAGAGGUUACAGCCUGAGGCUUGGUGAGAGCUCCUGGAGACAGCAUCAGCCCAUUCAGCCUGAUGUAACGUUCAUGUCUCACAGCUACAAUGGACACAUCAAGAGUCUAUGUCAAUGUAAAGACCUUUAGGACCCCAGGACACAAGUGUGCAUCACCUCCAUCUCUUCCCCCAGAUGCCAGUCAGUGCCCACACUGGCAUAGGUUGGCCCUGAAACUCGGCUGUGUUGGGCUGAUUCUUCUUGUCUUGAACCUGAUUGGACUCAGUAUCUCAGUGCGAUUCUUGAUGGAGAAACCACCAAUCGAAAAGCACGGUGUGGCUGAUCAAGAGAACAGGACUGAACCAACAGGGAGAUCAGCCAUGCUAAAGUGUCCAAGAGACUGGCAUCUACACCAGGAUAAAUGCUUAUUUAUUUCUCAAAUUCUCCGACCUUGGGCUGAAGGUCUAGCUGACUGUUUUGUGAAAGAAGCCACUUUGUUGCUCCUUGAAGAUGAAGGAGAUAUGAGAUUCAUUCAGGACAUCUCAAAGAAAAGAAGACAGCAAUUCUUUAUCGGACUAAAUUAUGUACCAGCAGAGAAGAUCUGGAAGUGUAUAAAUGCCUCUGUUUUAAGUCCUGAUAUAUGCCUGUCGGUUCCCAUACUGGCAUCAGUUGGCUCUGAAACUCCGCUGUGCUUGGCUGAUUCUUCCUGUCUUGAGCCUGACUGGACUCAGUGUCUUAGGUCGAGUCAGAUGACUUUUGCCCUGGCUGACUCUGACAUCCAUGGAAUCUUGAGUAGUCACCUGAGGACUGACUGACAGACACACCACAUGUUUCCAUUGUGUUUUGUCAGUUUGUCUACAUGACCAUUGAACACAGUUGGAAGACACAACAAGACUUGACCUUCCGUGCAGCUCUGUGUACUCUCAUGCACUUUCUGCUGGAUGAGCCAUGUUCAAGGGUGGUGAAUUGAUGGAAGGAGUUUCAAGUCACAUUGCACAUGGCACAAAUAUAAGGAAAGGCAUGGAACUAGGGCUUUAUUUAACCAUAUAAAACUUCAAUAUCAUUUUGUUUUGUAGCAAACUCCAGACAGCAUAUGUGUGAAAGUCUGGUAGGGCUAGAUGGCCUCAAAAGCACUUUCCUGCCAGGAGUGGUGAUCUAUAACGUCAUAUCCAGCACCUCAGAGGUAGAGGCCUGAGCAAAAGGAUGUUAAGGUCAUCUUCAGCUACAUAAAGAGUUUGAGGCCAGCCUCGGCUACAUGAG